rnacentral:lncRNA from 1 species
CUGUUGGGUCUUUUAUUUAUAAAAAGUUUUGUAGCGACAGGGUCUCACUAUGCUCCCCAGGCUGGUCUUAAACUCCUUGGGCUCAAGCGAUUCACCGGUCUUGGCUUCCCAAAGUGCUGAGAUUACAGGCGUGAGUCACUGCACCUGGCCUAGGUCUUGAGAGACUGGACGGAAGAGGCUUGGCAAGGGCAAGGGCUGUGGGUAUCCCAAGGCCCGGUGCAGGGUAGGCCCCGAAUGUGUGCUGAAAAAAUGAGUCAGAGGAUCACCUAGACGGCUUGUUCAACACGGACUGUUGUUCCCAGUCCUGCACACAAUUUCUGAUUUCAGUGGCCUGGGGUGCCACCUGAGAAUCUGCAUUUCCCAUAGUUCCCAGGUGAUGCUGCCGCUGGUCCUGGGAGCUCACGUGGAGAGCUGCUGACUUGGAUAACAGUAUCACAGAUUGUUCAAAUCCUAGGAUCUCAGAACCCCAGCUAGGGUUGAACUGCAUCCGGCCUCUUUGACAGUUCUAAGAAGUAAAAUAAACCAGAAGAAGGCAGGCAGAGAGUAAUAGAUAUUGGGAACUGUUAUUUUUCCUAUUCUGAUUUAAAUUCCUUUAUUAUGGAAAAUUUCAAAUGUAUACAAAAGCAAUGAAGAU